AGGAGCUUAGGUUAACACCAGACCAAGAGCCUUCAAAGCCCUAAGCGAGAGUGAGAAUCUCUCAGCCCCUG
rnacentral:tRNA from 1 species